UUUCUAGAGAUCUAGGAACUCUCAAAACUUAUAUAAUUUAAUGGUAUCCACUUCUACGCUGUACGCCGUGUUGGUAUACGUUAAGCUUCAGAAUAACAAUCUGCUUCCCAAAAGAGGAUCAUAUUUUAUAAACUGCUAUUCAGGAUGAAGGAAACAGGGCCGGAAAACGUGAGAAAUCAGCGAUACCUCCUCCCCGGAAUUCGAACUGCAGACCUCCCGACUGCUAGCCGGACAUGCUUCCAACUACGCCACGAAGGCACGUGGUAGGGAGGGAAAAAGUAUCUUAAAGUUUCACCCAAGAAACAUGAAGAGUGUCCAAUGUUCUCCCCAGGACUCAAACUCCGGACCUUUCGACUGCUGACCAGAAGCGGUUUCCCCCAUGGAAAGCAUCCGGUAAGGAGAGACAAUAUCCUUACAAGUAUUUUCUAUAUGCGAAAAGUCGAAUCUUCUUUCCUUCGAGAUAGAAAGGUGCAUC